rnacentral:rRNA from 1 species
GUGGGGAAUAUUGGACAAUGGGCGAAAGCCUGAUCCAGCCAUGCCGCGUGUGUGAAGAAGGUCUUCGGAUUGUAAAGCACUUUAAGUUGGGAGGAAGGGCAGUAAGUUAAUACCUUGCUGUUUUGACGUUACCGACAGAAUAAGCACCGGCUAACUUCGUGCCAGCAGCCGCGGUAAUACGAAGGGUGCAAGCGUUAAUCGGAAUUACUGGGCGUAAAGCGCGCGUAGGUGGUUUUGUAAGUUGGAGGUGAAAUCCCCGGGAUCAACCUGGGAACUGCCUCCAAAACUGCAUGACUAGAGUACGGUAGAGGGUAGUGGAAUUUCCUGUGUAGCGGUGAAAUGCGUAGAUAUAGGAAGGAACACCAGUGGCGAAGGCGACUACCUGGACUGAUACUGACACUGAGGUGCGAAAGCGUGGGGAGCAAACAGGAUUAGAAACCCGAGUAGUCC